UUUUUUAACUCGCUGUUGUGGCCUCAUUUUUCGAAGUACAGACAUGAAAAAGACAUCAUUGUGUUCAUGAAGGGCGGAGGAUUCGUACGAUGUUCUUAUUUUCAUUCUGUGACUUAAGGAAAUCACGCUAUGUGAAGAAGUUUAGAGCCUCUAAAUCCUCUGCAGUUCAGCUGCUUCUCAUUCAAACAGUAGGUCAGUGAUUUGCCUUUGAUCUCACAGCUGUUUAGGAUGCAGUCAUUAACGAGACACACACACACACACACACACACAUUCUUGUACUUGUUGCUUUAUGAGGUCUACCUUGCAGUUCAGCUGCUUGUACACACAGUUAAUAUGUGUCUGCUUCGCCACCUAUCUCCACCCACAAACUUUGAGCUACAGAAACCAUUCUGGGCUUCUAAAAUUCAGCUCAUUGAAGAUAUUAUGGGGUGUUUUGAGGAUUGUGAUAAUAAAUUGUAUUAAUGUGUUUAGCAGAGUCUUGUGUUCUCACAAGCUCCUUAUCAGGAAUAGAUACAGAGGAUGAGCGUCAGGGCCUACUUGGAGUCCUGUUUCCUCAGCUUCAAGCCUUCUUUCUCCUGCUAUAGUUAUGCAUCCAAGGUCCCCAUGGCAACCAAUUAGUGCACCUGGAGACACACAGCUGACUGGAAAGCUGCUUCUAAUGGCCAUAUGAGACACAUGAAGCCAGGCUCAGCACACAUAGCACUGAGGAUGACACUUAAAACCCUUUACUAGAGCGCUUGAAAAACCUUCAGCCCCUAUCUCCUCACAUGACCUUUGACCUACAGAAACCAUUCAGGGCUUUAAAAUCUAAGCUCAUUGAGGACAUUAUGGGGUGUAUUCAGGAUUUAUAUUCAUUUAAAUUUUUCACAUUUUAAAGUCACUCAGUGAUGAUUUAUCAUUUAAAUUUUUCAAACUAAUUUAAACUCAUUCAAACUGAUUCAAACCUUUCUAAUACUUUAAAAGUUUCUGAUACUUGAAGAUUUUUAAUUAUUUAAAUUUUCCCUGUUUUAAAUUAGUUUUAAUAUUUAUGCAUUACUCCAUCCUUCAAACAAAAUCCUACCUCAAGUACGACAACUACUGCUAAUGUCAAUUAAACUAGUACUUUCCCCUCUACUUCAACUGCUAUUGCUCCUAUUUCUACUUUCUCUACUACUGUGACUUAUACUUCUUUUAUUCUCAAACUACUUCUACUGCUGACAUGACUACUAGUAUCACGACUUGACCUCCUAUACUUCUUCUAGUACUACAACUUAAACUUAUGCCACUUCUCACCUUCCUGCCUUUUAAGGCAAUUUCCUUCUUCAUUCAAACUUUGUGCAAUUUUAAACAUUUUUCUAGCCUCUUUCAGCAUGAAUAAAAUUUCCUUUUAUAGAGCAUAUUCAUACUAUUUGUCCUUCAACCAAUUAAACCAUUAUCCAACUAAUAUUUCUUUUUCACCCCUUCAACAGUUUUAACAUUUAUACCUUUCUCCAUGUUUUAUUAGCAGUUUAGCAUUGCUUUUUCAGCUUUCAGCACUCAGCAUUUCCACGCAUUUUCUGCAAGGAAAUGCAAUUUUUCUAGUUAUUAUUAUUAUUCUUCCGUACCUUUUUUGCAACUUUUCAACUCCUCCAUACUUUGUCCGAUUUCAACCGUUCAACUUUUAAACUAUUCCUCUCCUUCAGGACAAGUGCGGAUGUAUUUUUCACUUUUCUACCCCUUAUACUUUUUGAUAUUUUUGACUUUUUGUGCAAAAAAUUUUCCCAUUGAAAUGAAUGGGGAAAUCUUCAAAUUCUACCUUUUACUCCUCCACCUUCUCAGCCUUAUAACUUCAGCAUACUUUCACCUAGAGACCUCAUUUUUGCUUUAAAAUGUUCACAAUCUUGUCGACUAUUAUGUUGUAUUGACUUUUUGUGCUAUCUCCUACAGUUUUUCCACAAUUUAGCUUUAAGCAACUUGUGGUUUUCAGCAAAUUUCAAGCUUUAUAAUGGGUGUGUAUUGGAGAGUUUAGAGUGAGGAUUUGAAAAGCUAGAGUGCAGACCCCGUCUCUGAUCGACAGAACCUCGCUCGAAUAUAUCGCUCCCACGCCCACAAAUCUCACUCCAGAGCCAUAAAUAAUACAUCAAAAUGGAGGUAUAUGUGUCCUGCUUCUCACAAAAGAGGUUUCAAAUCAUUAAAUCGUACCCCUUGGCCAGCAGGUGACCAACUGUCCAAGGAAGGCGGAAAUCUCUCCCAUUGACCAUAAUGUUAUUUUUCUCCAAGAAAAUCCGGAUCAUCGCUCAGGCUCAGACUUUUUUAACUCGCUGUUGUGGCCUCAUUUUUCGAAGUACAGACAUGAAAAACACAUCAUUGUGUUCAUGAAGGGCGGAGGAUUUGUACGAUGUUCUUAUUUUCAUUCUGGGACUUAAGGAAAUCACGCUAUGUGAAGAAGUUCACAGGCUGAAAUUCACUGCAGUUCAGCACCUCUCAGUCAAACAGUAGGUUAGUGAUUUGCCUUUGAUCUCACAGCUGUUUAGGAUGCAGUCAUUAACGAGACACACACACACACACGCACACACAUUCUUGUACUUGUUGCUUUUUGAGGUCCACCUUGCAGUUCAGCUGCUUGUACACACAGUUAAUAUGUGUCUGCUUCACCACCUAUCUCCACCCACAAACUUUGAGCUACAGAAACCAUUCUGGGCUUCAAAAAUUCAGCUCAUUGAAGAUAUUAUGGGGUGUUUUGAGGAUUGUGAUAAUAAAUUGUAUUAAUGUGUUCAGCAGAGUCUUGUGUUCUCACAAGCUCCUUAUGAAUAUAUACAGAGGGUGAGCGUCAGGGCCUACUUGGAGUCCUGUUUCUUUAGCUUCAAGCCUUCUUUCUCCUGCUAUAGUUAUGCAUCCAAGGUCCCCAUGGCAACCAAUUUGUGCACCUGGAGACACACAGCUGACUGGAAAGCUGCUUCUAAUGGCCAUAUGAGACACAUGAAGCCAGGCUAAGUACACAUAGCACUGGGGAUGACACUUAAAACCCUUUCCUAGAGCGCUUGAAAAAACUUCAGCCCCUAUCUCCUCACAUGACCUUUGACCUACAGAAACCAUUCAGGGCUUUAAAAUUUAAGCUCAUUGAGGACAUUAUGGGGUGUAUUUAGGAUUUAUAUUCAUUUACAUUUUUCACAUUUUAAAGUCACUCAGUGAUGAUUUAUCAUUUAAUUGUUUUUCAAACUAAUUUAAACUCAUUCAAACCUUUCUAAUACUUUUAAACUUUCUGAUACUUGAGGAUUUUUAAUUAUUUAAAUUUUCUGUUUUAAAUUAAUUUUAAUAUUUAUGCAUUAUUCCAUCCUUCAAACAAAAUCCUACCUCAAGUAUUACAACUACUGCUAAUGUCAAUUAAACUAGUACUUUCCCCUCUACUUCAACUGCUAUUGCUCCUAUUUCUACUUUCUCUACUACUUUGACUUAUACUUCUUUUACUCUCAAACUACUUCUACUGCUGACGUGACUACUAGUAUCACGACUUGACCUCUUAUACUACUUCUAGUACUACAACUUAAACUAAUGCCACUUCUCACCUUCCUGCCUUUUAAGGCAAUUUCCUUCUUCAUUCAAACUUUGUGCAAUUUUAAACAUUUUUCUAGCCUCUUUCAGCAUGAAUAAAAUUUCCUUUUAUAGAGCAUAUUCAUACUAUUUGUCCUUCAACCAAUUAAACCAUUAUCCAACUAAUAUUUCUUUUUCACCCCUUCAACAGCUUUAACAUUUAUACCUUUCUCCAUGUUUUAUUAGCAGUUUAGCAUUGCUUUUUCAGCUUUCAGCACUCAGCAUUUCCACGCAUUUUCUGCAAGGAAAUGCAAUUUUUCUAGUUAUUAAGUGGAAAUGCUGAUUAAGCAUUUCCACUUAUUGUUAUUCUCCUAUUUCUUUAUUAUUAUUAUUAUUAUUAUUCUUCCGUACCUUUUUUGCAACUUUUCAACUCCUCCAUACUUUGUCCGAUUUCAACCGUUCAACUUUUAAACUAUUCCUCUCCUUCAGGAAUAGUGCGGAUGUAUUUUUCACUUUUCAACCCCUUAUACUUUUUGAUAUUUUUGACUUUUUGUGCAAAAAAUUUUCCCAUUGAAAUGAAUGGGGAAAUCUUCAAAUUCUGCCUUUUACUCCUCCACCUUCUCAGCCUUAUAACUUCAGCAUACUUUCACCUAGAGACCUCAUUUUUGCUUUAAAAUGUUCACAAUCUUGUCGACUAUUAUGUUGUAUUAACCUUUUUGUGCUAUCUUUUACAGUUUUUCCACAAUUUAGCUUUAUGCAACUUGUGGUUUUCAGCAAAUUUCAAGCUUUAUAAUGGGUGUGUAUUGGAGAGUUUAGAGUGAUGAUGUCAUCAGCUAGAGUGCAGACCUCGUCUCUGAUCGACAGAACCUCGCUCGAAUAUAUCGCUCCCACGCCCACAAAUCUCACUCCACUGACACAAAUAAUACAUCAAAAUGGAGGUAUAUGUGUCCUGCUUCUCACAAAAGAGGUUUCAAAUCAUUAAAUCGUACCCCUUGGCCAGCAGGUGACCAACUGUCCAAAAAAGGCGGAAAUCUCUCCCAUUGACUGUAAUGUUAUUUUUCUCCAAGAAAAUCUGGAUCAUCGCUCAAGCUCAGACUUUUUUUUAACUCGCUGUUGUGGCCUCAUUUUUCGAAGUACAGACAUGAAAAACACAUCAUUGUGUUCAUGAAGGACGGAGGAUUCGUACGAUGUUCUUAUUUUCAUUCUGUGACUUAAGGAAAUCACGCUAUGUGAAGAAGUUCACAGGCUUGAAAUUCACUGCAGUUCAGCACCUCUCAGUCAAACAGUAGGUCAGUGAUUUGCCUUUGAUCUCACAGCUGUUUAGGAUGCAGUCAUUAACGAGACACACACACACACACGCACACACAUUCUUGUACUUGUUGCUUUUUGAGGUCCACCUUGCAGUUCAGCUGCUUGUACACACAGUUAAUAUGUGUCUGCUUCACCACCUAUCUCCACCCACAAACUUUGAGCUACAGAAACCAUUCUGGGCUUGAAAAAUUCAGCUCAUUGAAGAUAUUAUGGGGUGUUUUGAGGAUUGUGAUAAUAAAUUGUAUUAAUGUGUUCAGCAGAGUCUUGUGUUCUCACAAGCUCCUUAUGAAUAUAUACAGAGGGUGAGCGUCAGGGCCUACUUGGAGUCCUGUUUCCUUAGCUUCAAGCCUUCAUUCUCCUGCUAUAGUUAUUGCAUCCAAGGUCCCCAUGGCAACCAAUUUGUGCACCUGGAGACACACAGCUGACUGGAAAGCUGCUUCUAGUGGCCAUAUGAGACACAUGAAGCCAGGCUCAGUACACAUAGCACUGGGGAUGACACUUAAAACCCUUUCCUAGAGCGUUGGAAAAAACUUCAGCCCCUAUCUCCUCACAUGACCUUUGACCUACAGAAACCAUUCAGGGCUUUGAAAUUUAAGCUCAUUGAGGACAUUAUUGGGUGUAUUUAGGAUUGUUAUUCAUUUAAAUUUUUCACAUUUUAAAAGUCAGUCAGUGAUGAUUUAUCAUUUAAUUUUUCAAACUAAUUUAAACUCAUUCAAACUGAUUCAAACCUUUCUAAUACUUCAAAACUUUCUGAUACUUGAGGACUUUUGAUAAUUUAAAAUUUCCCUGUUUUAAAUUAGUUUUAAUAUUUAUGCAUUACUCCAUCAUUCAAACAAAAUCCUACCUCAAGUACGACAACUACUGCUAAUGUCAAUUAAACUAGAACUUUCCCCUCUACUUCAACUGCUAUUGCUCCUAUUUCUACUUUCUUUACUACUUUGACUUAUACUUCUUUUAUUCUCAAUCUACUUCUACUGCUGACAUGACUACUAGUAUCACGACUUGACUUCUUAUCAUACUACUUCUAGUACUACAAUUUAAACUUAUGCCACUUCUCACCUUCCUGCCUUUUAAGGCAAUUUCCUUCUUCAUUCAAACUUUGUGCAAUUUGAGACAUUUUUCUAGCCUCUUUCAGCAUGAAUAAAAUUUCCUUUUAUAGAGCAUAUUCAUACUAUUUGUCCUUCAACCAAUUAAUCAAUUAUCCAACUUAUAUUUCUGUUCACCCCUUCAACAGCUUUAACAUUUAUACCUUUCUCCAUGUUUUAUUAGCAGUUUAGCAUUGCUUUGUUAGCUUUCAGCACUCAGCAUUUCCACGCAUUUUCUGCAAGGAAAUGCAAUUUUUCUAGUUAAGUGGAAAUGCUGAUUAAGCAUUUCCACUUAUUGUUAUUCUCCUGUUUCUUUAUUAUUAUUAAGUGGAAAUGCUGAUAGGCAUUUCCACUUAUUGUUAUUCUCCUGUUUCUUUAUUAUUAUUAUUAUUAUUAUUCUUCCGCCGUUUUUUGUCGCUUUUCAACUCCUUCAAACUUUGUGCGAUUUCAACCGUUCAAACUUUAAACUAUUCCACUCCUUCAGGACAUGUUUGCUAUUAUUUUUUACCUUUCUACCUUUUAUACUUUUUGUUUUUUUUAACUUUUUGUGCAAAAAUUUUAACAUUGAAGUCAAUGGGGAAAUCUUCCACUUCUUCCUUUUAUUCUUCCACCUUCUAGACCUUAUAACUUCAGCAUACUUUCACCUAGAGACCUCAUUUUUGCUUUAAAAUGUUCAUUCACUUGUCGACUAUUAUAGUUGUACUCAGUUUUUUGAUAUCUCUUACAGUUUUUCCACAAUUUAGCUUUAAGCAACUUGUGGUUUUCAGCAAAUUUCAAGCUUUAUAAUGGGUGUGUAUUGGAGAGUUUAGAGUGAUGAUGUCAUCAGCUAGAGUGCAGACCUCGUCUCUGAUCGACAGAACCUCGCUCGAAUAUAUCGCUCCCACGCCCACAAAUCUCACUCCACUGACACAAAUAAUACAUCAAAAUGGAGGUAUAUGUGUCCUGCUUCUCACAAAAGAGGUUUCAAAUCAUUAAAUCGUACCCCUUGGCCAGCAGGUGACCAACUGUCCAAAAAAGGCGGAAAUCUCUCCCAUUGACCAUAAUGUUAUUUUUCUCCAAGAAAAUCCGGAUCAUCGCUCAGGCUCAGACUUUUUUAACUCGCUGUUGUGGCCUCAUUUUUCGAAGUACAGACAUGAAAAACACAUCAUUGUGUUCAUGAAGGACGGAGGAUUCGUACGAUGUUCUUAUUUUCAUUCUGUGACUUAAGGAAAUCACGCUAUGUGAAGAAGUUUAGAGCCUCUAAAUCCUCUGCAGUUCAGCUGCUUCUCAUUCAAACAGUAGGUCAGUGAUUUGCCUUUGAUCUCACAGCUGUUUAGGAUGCAGUCAUUAACGAGACACACACACACACACACACACACACAUUCUUGUACUUGUUGCUUUAUGAGGUCUACCUUGCAGUUCAGCUGCUUGUACACACAGUUAAUAUGUGUCUGCUUCGCCACCUAUCUCCACCCACAAACUUUGAGCUACAGAAACCAUUCUGGGCUUCAAAAAUUCAGCUCAUUGAAGAUAUUAUGGGGUGUUUUGAGGAUUGUGAUAAUAAAUUGUAUUAAUGUGUUUAGCAGAGUCUUGUGUUCUCACAAGCUCCUUAUCAGGAAUAGAUACAGAGGAUGAGCGUCAGGGCCUACUUGGAGUCCUGUUUCCUUAGCUUCAAGCCUUCUUUCUCCUGCUAUAGUUAUGCAUCCAAGGUCCCCAUGGCAACCAAUUUGUGCACCUGGAGACACACAGCUGACUGGAAAGCUGCUUCUAAUGGCCAUAUGAGACACAUGAAGCCAGACUCAGCACACAUAGCACUGGGGAUGACACUUAAAACCCUUUACUAGAGCGCUUGAAAAAACUUCAGCCCCUAUCUCCUCACAUGACCUUUGACCUACAGAAACCAUUCAGGGCUUUAAAAUUUGAGCUCAUUGAGGACAUUAUGGGGUGUAUUUAGGAUUUAUAUACAUUUAGAUUUUUCACAUUUUAAAGUCACUCAGUGAUGAUUUAUCAUUUAAUUUUUCAAACUAAUUUGAACUGAUUCAAACUGAUUCAAACCUUUCUAAUACUUAAAAAAUUAAACUUAUGCCACUUCCCACCUUCCUGCCUUUUAAGGCAAUUUCCUUCUUCAUUCAAACUUUGUGCAAUUUUAGACAUUUUUCUAGCCUCUUUUAGCAUGAAUAAAAUUUCUUUUUAUAGAGCAUAUUCAUACUAUUUUUCCUCAACCAAUUAAUCAAUUAUCCAACUUACAUUUCUUUCACACCCCUUCAACAGCUUUAACAUUUAUACAUUUCUCCAUGUUUUAUUAGCAGUUUAGCAUUGCUUUUUCAGCUUUCAGCACUCAGCAUUUCCACGCAUUUUCUGCAAGGAAAUGCAAUUUUUCUAGUAUUAUACUUAACACUCUCCCCAUACGUUUCUUUGGACCGCUUCUCCUCCUUCAAACUUUGUCCGAUUUCAACCGUUCAAACUUUAAACUAUUACACUCCAUCGGGACAUGAUGGCUAUUACUUUUCUCUUUCCUACCCUUUAUACUUUUUAUUAUUUUUCACUUUUUGUCUCAAACUUUUUUUCCCAUAGAAAUGAAUGGGGAAAUCUUCCAAUUCUUCUUUUUCUUCUUCCACCUUCUAAGCCUUAUAACUUCAGCAUACUUUCACCUAGAGACCUCAUUUUUGCUUUAAAAUGUUCAUUGUCUUGUCGACUAUUGAUGUUCUAUUAACCUUUUUGUGCUAUCUUCUACAGUUUUCCCCCAAUUUAGCUUGAAGCACCUCGUGGUUUUCAGCAAAUUUUCAGGCUUUAUAAUGGGGGUGUAUUUGAGAGGCUAGAGUGAUGAUUUGAAAAGCUAGAGUGCAGACCUCGUCUCUGAUCGACAGAACCUCGCUCAAAUAUAUCGCUCCCACGCCCACAAAUCUCACUCCACAGCCAUAAAAAAUACAUCAAAAUGGAGGUAUAUGUGUCCUGCUUCUCACAAAAGAGGUUUCAAAUCAUUAAAUCGUACCCCUUGGCCAGCAGGUGACCAACUGUCCAAAAGGCGGAAAUCUCUCCCAUUAGACCUAAUGUUAUUUCUUCUCCAAGAAAAUCCGGAUUAUCCCCACUCAGGCUCAGACUUUUUUAACUCGCUGUUGUGGCCACAUUUUUCGGAGUACAGACAUGAAAAAGACAUCAUUGUGUUCAUGAAGGCGGAGGAUUCGUACGAUGUUCUUAUUUUCAUUCUGGGACUUAAGGAAAUCACGCUAUGUGAAGAAGUUCAGAGGCUAUAAAUCCUCAGCAGUUCAGCACCUCUCAGUCAAACAGUAGGUCAGUAAUUUGCCUUUGAUCUCACAGCUGUUUAGGAUGCAAUCAUUAACGAGACACACACACACACACACACACACACACACACACACACACACACACACACACACACAUUCUUGUACUUGUUGCAUUGUCAGGUCUACCUUGCAGUUCAGCUGCUUGUACACAGGUAUUAUGUGUCUGCUUCACCACCUAUCUCCACCCACAAACUUUGAGCUACAGAAACCAUUUUGGGCUUGAAAAAUUCAGCUCAUUGAAGAUAUUAUGGGGUGUUUUGAGGAUUGUGAUAAUAAAUUGUAUUAAUGUGUUCAGCAAAAUCUUGUGUUCUCACAAGCUCCUUAUCAUGAAUAUAUACAGACGAUGAGCGUCAGGGCCUACUUGGAGUCCUGUUUCCUUAGCUUCAAGCCUUCUUUCUCCUGCUAAAGUUAUUCAUCCAAGGUCCCCAUGGCAACCAAUUUGUGCACCUGGAGACACACAGCUGACUGGAAAGCUGCUUCUAAUGGCCAUAUGAGACACAUGAAGCCAGGCUCAGUACACAUAGCACUGGGGAUGACACUUAAAACCCUUUCCUAGAGCGCUUGAAAAAACCUAAGCCCGUAUCUCCUCACAUGACCUUUGACCUACAGAAACCAUUUAGGGCUUUAAAAUUUAAGCUCAUUGAGGACAUUAUGGGGUGUAUUCAGGAUUUAUAUUCAUUUACAUUUUUCACUUUUAUAAGUCACUCAUUGAUGAUUUAUCAUUUAAUUUUUCAAACUAAUUUAAACUCAUUCAAACUGAUACUUGAGGAUUUUUAAGUAUUUAAAUUUUCCAUGUUUUAAAUUAGUUUUAAUAUUCAUGCAUUACUCCAUCCUUCAAACAAAAUCCUACCUCAAGUACGACAACUACUGCUAAUGUCAAUUAACUAGUACUUUCCCCUCUACUUCAACUGCUAUUGCUCCUAUUUCUACUUUCUCUACUUCAACUGCUAUUGCUAUAGUUCUUUUAUUCUCAAACUACUUCUACUGCUGACAUGACUACUAGUAUCACGACUUGACUUCUUAUCAUACUACUUCUAGUACUACAACUUAAACUUAUGCCACUUCUCACCUUCCUGCCUUUUAAGGCAAUUUCCUUCUUCAAUCGAACUUUGUGCAAUUUUAGACAUUUUUCUAGCCUCUUUAAGCAUGAAUCAAAUUUCCUUUUAUAGAGCAUAUUCAUACUAUUUGUCCUUACUUACUAUACUUCUUUUUCACCCCUUCAACAGCUUUAACAUUUAUACCUUUCUCCAUGUUUUAUUAGCAGUUUAGCAUUGCUUUUUCAGCUUUCAGCACUCAGCAUUUCCACGCAUUUUCUGCAAGGAAAUGCAAUUUUUCUAGUUAUUAUUAUUAUUCUUCCGCCGUUUUUUGUCGCUUUUCAACUCCUUCAAACUUUGUGCGAUUUGAACCGUUCAAACUUUAAACUAUUCCACUCCUUCAGGACAUGUGUGCUUGUAUUUUUUACCUUUCUACCUUUUAUACUUUUUGUUUUUUUGAACUUUUUGUGCAAAAAUUUUAACAUUAAAGUCAAUGGGGAAAUCUUCCACUUCUUCCUUUUAUUCUUCCACCUUCUAGACCUUAUAACUUCAGCAUACUUUCACCUAGAGACCUCAUUUUUGCUUUAAAACGUUCAUUCACUUGUCGACUAUUACAGUUGUACUCAGUUUUUUGAUAUCUUUUACAGUUUUUCCACAAUUUAGCUUUAAGCAACUUGUGGUUUUCAGCAAAUUUCAGGUUUUAUAAUGGGUGUGUAUUGGAGAGCUUAGAGUGAUGAUGUCAUCAGCUAGAGUGCAGACCUCGUCUCUGAUCGACAGAACCUCGCUCGAAUAUAUCGCUCCCACGCCCACAAAUCUCACUCCAGAGCCAUAAAUAAUACAUCAAAAUGGAGGUAUAUGUGUCCUGCUUCUCACAAAAGAGGUUUCAAAUCAUUAAAUCGUACCCCUUGGCCAGCAGGUGACCAACUGUCCUAAAAAGGCGGAAAUCUCUCCCAUUGACCAUAAUGUAAUUUUUCUCCAAGAAAAUCCUUAUCGUCACUCAGGCGCAGACUUUUUUAACUCGCUGUUGUGGCCACAUUUUUCGGAGUACAGACAUGAAAAACACAUCAUUGUGUUCAUGAAGGGCGGAGGAUUCGUACGAUGUUCUUAUAUUCAUUCUGGGAUUUAAGGAAAUCGUGCUAUGUGAAGAAGUUCAGGGCCCUAAAUUCACUGCAGUUCAGCUGCUUCUCCAUUCAAACAAUAGGUCAGUGAUUUGCCUUUGAUCUCACAGCUGUUUAGGAUGCAAUCAUUAACGAGCUACACACACACUCAGCCAAUGUGUGUGCGUCAGCCUCCUUCUCUCUAUGAGACCUUCAAGUACACACAGUAAAUAUGUCCAUGCGUGAGUCUCUCUCUGUCUAUGAGACCUGAACACACUUUGACCAUGUGGCUGCUUCACCACCUAUCUUCUCUCACAAACUUUGAGAUACAGACACAUUUUGGGCUUCAGAAAUUCUGCUCAUUGAGGACAUUAUGGAGUCUACAGAGGAUUUCUAUUCAUUUAAAUUGUCCUUAAUUUAAAAUCACUCAUUAUUUGUG